rnacentral:lncRNA from 1 species
UGAAGUGAUGUGGUAAGAGAAUAGGAAAGAGAGUGGAGAAAAAGAGAAAACAAGAAAAGAAGGAACGUGGAGAGGAGAAGAAACGUGGAGAGAGAAAGAGAAGAAAGGAAAGAGAAAAAGAAAAGAGAGAAAAGAAAAGGAAAUAAGAGAAAAAGUGAAAGAGAAAGAAAAAUAAUGUCAAGUGGCAUUCCACGAUUAGUUAAAAGAUUUAUAAAAAAAAAUUAAUUUAAAAAAUAAAAAUAAAUAAGUCUAGUUGAUUGAUUAAUAAAAAACUAAACUUUUUUAACUUUAUUAAUAAAAUUAAAAAUACAUAAACAUGAGUAAAAAU